rnacentral:lncRNA from 1 species
CGCCGUCUUCCUCCCCGCGGAGGAGCCGAAGGCCGCCGCCGAGGAAGCGCCGCCCGCUCCGGCUGCGCCGGCGGAGGAGAGCAGCACCACGGAGAAGGAACCGGUGGUGGAAGAAGAGAAGAAGGAGGAGAAGGAGGAGGAGGAGAAGGCUCCCGCUCCUGAGGCGGCGGCGCCGCCUGCAGCUCCGGCGCCGGCCCCGGAGCCGGCGAAGGAGGCGGAAGCAGCAGACCCGCCGCCGAAGGCUUGAACCUCCAUCCCCCACUCUCCCAUGGACUGUAAAAGAACCCCCCGCGUGACCCGAUUUGUUAUUCUUUCCUUUUUUCCUCUCCUCAUCUCUCGCUUCUCCUGCUCUUCUGGUUCGUUGUUCUUGUGAAUGGAUUGUGUAAUCCGACCUCUUCGUCAACCUCUCUCUUCUUCUCCGUUUCCCUCUCUACUGUGUAAUCCGAUCGCCUCCU